rnacentral:rRNA from 1 species
CCUACGGGAGGCAGCAGUGGGGAAUAUUGGACAAUGGGGGCAACCCUGAUCCAGCCAUGCCGCGUGAGUGAUGACGGCCUUAGGGUUGUAAAGCUCUUUUCUCCGGGACGAUAAUGACGGUACCGGAGGAAUAAGCCCCGGCUAACUUCGUGCCAGCAGCCGCGGUAAUACGAAGGGGGCUAGCGUUGCUCGGAAUCACUGGGCGUAAAGGGCGCGUAGGCGGCUGACUUAGUCGAGGGUGAAAGCCCGUGGCUCAACCACGGAAUGGCCUUCGAUACUGGUUGGCUUGAGACCGGAAGAGGACAGCGGAACUGCGAGUGUAGAGGUGAAAUUCGUAGAUAUUCGCAAGAACACCAGUGGCGAAGGCGGCUGUCUGGUCCGGUUCUGACGCUGAGGCGCGAAAGCGUGGGGAGCAAACAGGAUUAGAUACCCUGGUAGUCCACGCUGUAAACGAUGAAUGCUAGCCGUUGGUCUGCAUGCAGGUCAGUGGCGCCGCUAACGCAUUAAGCAUUCCGCCUGGGGAGCGGUCGCAAGAUUAAACCUUAAGGAAUUGACGG